AAGGAACCUUGAAGACAAAGUAAAAGGGAAAGAAGAAAGACGUUUUUUGUCCACUUUCUUCUGUCCCUUCUACUUUGUCUUCAAGUUUUCUUCC
rnacentral:pre_miRNA from 1 species